GACGAACGCUGGCGGCGUGCUUAACACAUGCAAGUCGAACGGAAAGGCCUGCUUUCCCUUGUGGAUUGCGGGUGCUCGAGUGGCGAACGGGUGAGUAACACGUGAGUGAUCUGCCCCCAACUUGGGUAUAAGCCUGGGAAACUGGGUCUAAUUCCCGAUAGGACUGCAGGGUGGUGCCUGUGGUGGAAAACGAUUUUCUAGUGGUUGGGGAUGAGCUCGCGGCCUAUCAGCUUGUUGGUGGGGUAAUGGCCUACCAAGGCGGCGACGGGUAGCCGGCCUGAGAGGGGGGACGGCCACAUUGGGACUGAGAUACGGCCCAGACCCCUACGGGAGGCAGCAGUGGGGAAUAUUGCACAAUGGGCGGAAGCCUGAUGCAGCGACGCCGCGUGGGGGAUGACGGCCUUCGGGUUGUAAACUCCUUUCGACCGCGAGGAAGCCACCUGGUUGGAAGGGUGGUGACGGCAGUGGUAGAAGAAGCACCGGCUAACUACGUG
rnacentral:rRNA from 1 species